ensembl:snoRNA
GGCCUCGUGGGGCUUGCCACCGGCUGUGUUCUUACACUGACUAUGUAGAAAGAGGAGGCAGAGUAGACUCCCCACACACACACCUCAGCUCAGGCCUUGUGCCUGGUCUGUACUGUCAAUGGGCACAUGA